GGGGCCGUAGGGUAGCUUGGUCCAUCCUCUCAGCCAUUGAAAGAAGUAUCCAGCCUAGGACGCUGGAGACCCGAGUUCAAAUCUCGGCGGCCCCA
rnacentral:tRNA from 1 species